rnacentral:rRNA from 1 species
UACGAAGGGGGCUAGCGUUGUUCGGAAUUACUGGGCGUAAAGCGUGCGCAGGCGGCUUCUCAAGUCAGGGGUGAAAGCCCAGAGCUCAACUCUGGAAUUGCCUUUGAGACUGAGUGGCUUGAGUACGAGAGAGGUGAGUGGAAUUCCCAGUGUAGAGGUGAAAUUCGUAGAUAUCGGGAGGAACACCAGUGGCGAAGGCGGCUGCCUGGACCUCUGCUGACGCUGAGGCGCGAAAGCGUGGGGAGCGAUCCGG